CAUAUCAAUAAGCGGAGGAAAAGAAACCAACAGGGAUUGCCUCAGUAACGGCGAGUGAAGCGGCAAAAGCUCAAAUUUGAAACCCUCGGGAUUGUAAUUUGAAGAUUUGGCAUUGGAGAAAGCUAACCCAAGUUACUUGGAAUAGUACGUCAUAGAGGGUGACAACCCCGUCUGGCUAACCGUUCUCCAUGUAUUGCCUUAUCAAAGAGUCGAGUUGUUUGGGAAUGCAGCUCAAAGUGGGUGGUAAACUCCAUCUAAAGCUAAAUACUGGUGAGAGACCGAUAGCGAACAAGUACUGUGAAGGAAAGGUGAAAAGAACUUUGAAAAGAGAGUGAAAUAGUAUGUGAAAUUGUUGAUAGGGAAGGAAAUGAGCGGAGAGUGGUUGAGGUUUCAGCCUCCCUUUGGGGUGGUGUAUUGCCGACGCCGAGUCAUUGUCCGCGAGACGAGAAAAACAAACGGGUUGCAUUCAUGCUUCUCACCUUUUUCUCCCACUGCAGUCAACGACAUAAUCCGCCCAUUUCACCCGUCUUGAAACACGGACCAAGGAGUCUAAUGGAUAUGUGAGUGUUAGGGUGCUAAACCCCAGCGCGCAAUGAAAGUGAAUGAUUCGUUCAGAAUCGACCGAACUUGAUUUUUAUGACAGUUUUGAGUAAACACAUCCAUUGGGACCCGAAAGAUGGUGAACUAUGCCUGAAUAGGGUGAAGUCAGAGGAAACUCUGAUGGAGGCUCGUAGCGGUUCUGACGUGCAAAUCGAUCGUAGAAUUUGGGUAUAGGGGCGAAAGACUAAUCGAACCAUCUAGUAGCUGGUUCCUGC
rnacentral:rRNA from 1 species